rnacentral:rRNA from 1 species
UACGUAGGGUGCAAGCGUUGUCCGGAAUUAUUGGGCGUAAAGAGCUCGUAGGCGGUUUGUCGCGUCUGCUGUGAAAACUCGGGGGCUUAACCCCGAGCCUGCUUCCGAUACGGGCAGACUAGAGGUAGGCAGGGGAGAGCGGAACUCCUGGUGUAGCGGUGGAAUGCGCAGAUAUCAGGAAGAACACCGGUGGCGAAGGCGGCUCUCUGGGCCUUACCUGACGCUGAGGAGCGAAAGCGUGGGGAGCGAACAGG